CCCAAAGCCUAAGAUUGGUCUCCUUGCCGAUUUUGGAGCUGCUUUCAUUGUCAUGCAUUUGGCUAUGCCGAACGUUUCUUCUUGUGGGAUGACUCCACCAAAGAUGGUGACUAUAGCUGAGUGUUGCUCGUAUAUCUCAAUUGGAACUUGAUCGAAUGAGGAAUGGUUGGGUGAGGUGAGUUUGAAAAGGUUUAAUAUGGAAAAAUCUUCCCACAAACAACACAACUAUUAUGAGGUAUCAGAACUAAAUGGUUCCUCCGAUAAGAUAAGACUAUUUUGAUGAUGGUUGUGAGCUGCAUACACCUUUAUAAAUUGUUCCUAGCCCGAUUUUUUUUUUUUUUUUUUAGACUUUUGGUCAAAAAUAGAAAAACACGCUGUCAUUUAGAGCUUGUCUUUCUUCACCCAAACUGGGGAGAGUGAAUAGAGUUGUAGCUUCACAAAACGCAAUGCAAUGCUUCACACAUUUGCAAAACUCAUCCGCACAGUAAACACACACUCAAAAUCAAAACCAUUUCUCCACCACCACCACCACCACAAAACCCUAACCACCACCUCCAAAGAUGAAUACUUCGCCGCAAUCCAACACGUCGCAAACAUCGUCCGUCGCGAUUUCUACCUCGAACGAACCCUCAACAAACUCCGCAUCACAAUCACACCGGAACUCGUCUUCCGCGUCCUCCGUGCAUGUUCCUCUUCCCCAAUCGAAUCCCUCCGUUUCUUCAAUUGGGCUCAAUCUCACCACCACCACCCUAUCUACACCCCAACCUCCGCCGAAUUCGAAGAAAUCGUCACAAUCCUCGCCAAUUCCAACAACUACCAAACAAUGUGGUCAAUUAUCCAUCAAAUGACUCACCACCACAACCUCUCACUCUCCCCCUCCGCCGUCUCUUCCUUAAUCGAAUCCUACGGCCGUCACCGUCAUAUCGACCAAUCCGUUCAGCUUUUCAACAAAUGCAAAACAUUCAACUGUCCACAGAAUCUUCAGCUGUAUAAUUCCCUCCUUUUCGCACUCUGCGAAUCCAAACUCUUCCACGCUGCUUAUGCCCUAAUCCGUCGCAUGCUUCGGAAAGGUAUCAACCCUGAUAAACGUACCUACGCGCUACUCGUUAACGCGUGGUGCUCGAGCGGUAAAAUGCGUGAAGCUCAACAGUUUCUUAAAGAGAUGAGUGAUAAAGGGUUUACCCCUCCGGUGAGAGGCCGUGAUCUUCUCAUUGAAGGGCUGUUAAACGCCGGUUACAUUGAAUCGGCGAAAGGAAUGGUGAGGAAGAUGGUGAAGGAAGGAAUUAUCCCUGACGUGGGAACAUUCAAUGCAUUGAUGGAAACAAUAUGUAAAUGUGGAGAAGAUGAAAUUAAGUUUUGUGUUGAGCUUUAUCAUGAGUUAUGUAAAUUAGGAAUGGUUCCUGAUGUUAACACUUACAAGAUUUUGGUGCCCGCGGUUUCGAAAAUAGGGUUGAUGGAUGAAGCUUUUAGGUUGUUGAAUAAUUUUAGCGAGGAAGGGAGUCGUCCUUUUCCUAGUUUAUAUGCACCUGUUAUGAAGGCAUUGUUUAAGAGAGGUCAAUUUGAUGAUGCUUUUUGCUUUUUUGCUGAUAUGAAAGCAAAGGGUCAUCCUCCUAAUCGACCUCUUUAUACGAUGCUUAUUACUAUGUGUGGUCGCGGUGGAAGGUUUGUUGAUGCUGCUAAUUAUCUUUUUGAAAUGACUGAGAUUGGUUUUGUACCUAUAUCUCGUUGCUUUGAUAUGGUUACUGAUGGAUUGAAGAAUGCUGGUAAACAUGAUUUGGCUAAGAGAGUGCAACAACUCGAAGUCUCUAUCCGUGGGGUUUGAAGUUUGAUGUAUUCAAUUCCAAUGACAAUUUUCAUCGUCUUACUAGAAGGUGUAAGCUUUCAUUAUUAACCUUAAUAGAGUAACUGCAAUGCAUGCAUUUAUUGGGAAAUGUCAUUAGAAAAGUUGAUCAAAUGGGUUUUCAAACAUAUACAUGCAUGAAAAGAGAAAGCCAUUCUUUCUCUCAGAUGCAGAAUCAUUUUUGUUUUAUUUAUGUCAAAUGAUAGGGAAGUAUUUAAUCAUCAUUUGUAUAAGAGAAACAUGAUCAGGAGAAAAGCUUUCCUCCUCGGUAGAAAUUUUGUGUUUUCUCAUAAAUUGAAUCCACAGAUGACUGCAGUGGAGAGACUGAAAUGCAGAUGAAAACACUAAUUAUCGAUGUUCGUAGACGUUGCUUCUGUGGUCCCCUGUAUAACUCUAUACUCUGACGGAAAAUUUUAUGUAUGGAUUUGGAAAUUCUCAGCAUAUUGUUUACAAAUCAAAAUAAGAUCUUGUCUGUGGAUUUGGAAAUUUAGAGCUCCAGGGAAGAUUAAAUUCUUCAUCUGGGUGUGCUUGCCAUCAAGCCAUACCAACCCUUUCUAAGUUGCAUAAAAGGAACAUGACUCAAUCUUGCUUAUGUCCUAGAUACUUGACAGAAGAAAAGACUGUUAUCAUUGCAUAUACUGACUGUCCAACCUGUUGGCUAAACAAUUAUGUUCUGCUUUUGAUUUUACUGUCGAGAGUUUCUUUGAUGAGGAGAAGAUCAUUUGUUAGAUUAGAAAAUAAGUUGUUGCACCUAAUGCUCAUCUGUCUCAGCUGUUUCUAGCUUGUUUGUGGUGGAGUUAGAGAUCUAGAAACAUUGUGUGUCGGCAUAGAAUCUUUCCAUAUGCAUCAAGUUUUGAAGGAGUCUGCAAUUUUGCGUAUUUCCGGGAGUGUUGUUUUAAAUAUAGUAGAGAUAUUAAUAAACUUCAAAGAUGGGUGGCAUGGCAGCUGCCUAGGUGAUCCAGGAAGAGCUGGAUUUGGAGGCUUGAUUGGAAGAGGGGAUGUGACAUAGCUGGCUGGUGUAAGUGGUUAAUAUGGGAAUAUCAAAUAACACUCAUGCUGAGUUAUUAGCCAUUUACUGCUAUACUGAUUCCUUGACAGCAUUAGUAAUAAUCAUCAUACUCACUAGUUUGCUACUAUUAUCUAGAGUAUUCAAUUUGAAGAUAUGCUGCAACUUGAUUUUACGGUCCUCAUGUCAUCAAGCACACUCUUAGAGACGGAAAUUCAAGUGCAAAUUUCCAAAAUAGUUCCUACAUGGCCCAAAGCGCACAUUCCGCAACAAUCAUAAGAGUAGGGUUCCAUGUAGAAGGGAUGUAUAUCUCAAUUAUAAGAAGGAUUCAUCUAGCUGUCCCCCAUCGAUGGUUGAAAGCUAUCAGAAAUGCUGUUAGAUUGAAGGAUAUUAGACGGUUAUCGAUCAUUCAAUAUUAUUGUCUCUAGAGGUUUUAUUUUCGCUUAAAUAAUACUUCUUCCGUUCCUUA